rnacentral:rRNA from 1 species
ACUCCUACGGGAGGCAGCAGUGGAGAAUUUUGGACAAUGGGGGAAACCCUGAUCCAGUCAUGCCGCGUGAGUGAAGAAGGCCUUCGGGUUGUAAAGCUCUUUCAGCCGGAACGAAACGGUCACGGUUAAUACCCGUGACUACUGACGGUACCGGAAGAAGAAGCACCGGCUAACUACGUGCCAGCAGCCGCGGUAAU